rnacentral:rRNA from 1 species
UACGAAGGGUGCAAGCGUUACUCGGAAUUACUGGGCGUAAAGCGUGCGUAGGCGGUUUGUUAAGUCCGUUGUGAAAGCCCUGGGCUCAACCUGGGAAUUGCAGUGGAUACUGGCAAGCUAGAGUACGGUAGAGGAUGGUGGAAUUCCCGGUGUAGCGGUGAAAUGCGUAGAGAUCGGGAGGAACACCCGUGGCGAAGGCGGCCACCUGGACCAGUACUGACGCUGAGGCACGAAAGCGUGGGGAGCAAACAGG